rnacentral:sRNA from 1 species
AUUCUUGGUCAUUUUAGAGGAAGUAAAAGUCGUAACAAGGUUUCCGUAGGUGAACCUGCGGAAGGAUCUAGAGAGGUGUUUUCCGUGCUGGACCGUGUACAAGUCUCCUGGUACCUACCUCUGUUGCUUUGGCGGGCCGCGGUCCUCCGCGGCCGCCCCCCUCCCCGGGGGGGUGGCCAGCGCCCGCCAGAGGACCAUCAAACUCCAGUCAGUAAACGAUGCAGUCUGAAAAACAUUUAAUAAACUAAAACUUUCAACAACGGAUCUCUUGGUUCUGGCAUCGAUGAAGAACGCAGCGAAAUGCGAUAAGUAAUGUGAAUUGCAGAAUUCAGUGAAUCAUCGAAUCUUUGAACGCACAUUGCGCCCUUUGGUAUUCCGAAGGGCAUGCCUGUUCGAGCGUCAUUACAACCCUCAAGCUCUGCUUGGUAUUGGGCACCGUCCUUUGCGGGCGCGCCUCAAAGACCUCGGCGGUGGCGUCUUGCCUCAAGCGUAGUAGAACAUACAUCUCGCUUCGGAGCGCAGGGCGUCGCCCGCCGGACGAACCUUUUGAACUUUUCUCAAGGUUGACCUCGGAUCAGGUAGGGAUACCCGCUGAACUUAAGCAUAUCAAUAAGCGGAGGAAAU